AAAUAUAUACUUGAUCAAAAAUAUAAUACUGGAUGUCACUUCAAGACUGAAGGGGAAGAUCUCUAUAUUUUCAUAAAAGAUACUGCUGGGAAAGGACAGAAUUACACCGAUGAACAAGACAUCAACUUUUUCUUUAAGCCGAACCCCCCUGAAAAUGUCACUUUCCAAUGGGCAUAUGACAAAGUAACGGUACAAUGCAAUGCACCUUGGAAUCCACAUUGCUUUGAGUUGGAAUUUCAGUACAAAAGUACAUUGGACCAAGAAUGGAAGUCCAGGAAAGGCGAGUGUUGCAAGAUUGAAGACCAUGGACUUGAUCCAGCAAAGUGCUAUUCAUUUCGACUCAGAUUGGAAGUGAAAUUCUGCUCCAAGAUUGUUUAUUUUAGUGAAUGGGGAUCUGAAACACUUUGGAAGAAUGGC